rnacentral:rRNA from 1 species
UACAGAGGUCUCAAGCGUUGUUCGGAUUCAUUGGGCGUAAAGGGUGUGUAGGUGGCGCGCUAAGUCGGGUGUGAAAUUUCGGAGCUUAACUCCGAAACUGCAUUCGAUACUGGCGUGCUUGAGGACUGGAGAGGAGACUGGAAUUCAUGGUGUAGCAGUGAAAUGCGUAGAGAUCAUGAGGAAGACCAGUGGCGAAGGCGGGUCUCUGGGACGGUACUGACGCUAAGGCGCGAAAGCGUGGGGAGCGAACAGG